GAGCCCCCGCUACUCAUACCCCAGCACGGAGCUGCUUCUUCCCAGCCUUGUCCCAGGCGAAGCACUGGCUAGAAGAGAUGAGCUACUCAAAGCAUUCCCAAGGAGACUCAGAAACGGCAUGGGAUACAGCUAAGGAAUGGAUAGAAUGCAUAAUCAACACAAUCAGUGGGGAAAACUCUAUGGUAAGUCUCUCCAAGGCAAUGCUCUGGGGAUUUCCCUGAGGGGGAAGGAUUCAGAGGAUUCCACAACUCCCCUGUUUUUUCUUACAAUGAAGACUUCCCCGAUGGACUUCUACAGAC